UACGGAAGGCAGCAGUGGGGAAUAUUGCACAAUGGGCGCAAGCCUGAUGCAGCCAUGCCGCGUGUAUGAAAGAAGGCCUUCGGGUUGUAAAGUACUUUCAGUCGUGAGGAAGGUGUUAAGGUUAAUAACCUUAGCAAUUGACGUUAGCGACAGAAGAAGCACCGGCUAACUCCGUGCCAGCAGCCGCGGUAAUACGGAGGGUGCGAGCGUUAAUCGGAAUUACUGGGCGUAAAGGGCACGCAGGCGGUUAAUUAAGUUGGAUGUGAAAUCCCCGGGCUUAACCUGGGAAUGGCAUUCAAGACUGGUUAGCUAGAGUCUUGUAGAGGGGGUAGAAUUCCAUGUGUAGCGGUGAAAUGCGUAGAGAUGUGGAGGAAUACCGGUGGCGAAGGCGGCCCCUGGACAAAGACUGACGCUCAUGUGCGAAAGCGUGGGGAGCAAACAGGGAUUAGAUACC
rnacentral:rRNA from 1 species